rnacentral:rRNA from 1 species
UGACCUGCCCAUUGGGUUCUAAAAGGCCGCGGUAUUAUGACCGUGCAAAGGUAGCAUAAUCAUUAGUCUUUUAAUUGAAGGCUAGAAUGAAUGGUUGGACAAGAAAUAAUCUGUCUUAAAUUAAAAUAUUGAAUUUAACUUUUAAGUGAAAAGGCUUAAAUUAUCUAGAGUGACGAUAAGACCCUAUAAAACUUUAUAUUUAAAAAUAAUAGUUAGUUUUAUUUAAAAAUUUUAUUUGAAAAUAUUUUAUUGGGGUGAUAAAGAUAUAAAUUUAAAUAACUGUCUUCUUUUCUUACAAUAAUAUUUGAAUUAAUGAUCCUUACAAAGGAGUAAAAGAUUAAGUUACUUUAGGGAUAACAGCGUAAUUUUUUUUAAGAGUUCAUAUCGACAGGAAAGUUUGCGACCUCGAUGUUGAAUUAAAAGAUCUUUAUAGAGCA